rnacentral:lncRNA from 1 species
UACACUCACCGAGACAGAUGCAGCCACGGAGCACACAUUCGUCAUUUGAUUCCUUGGGGGACACCAGAUCUAUCAUCAAGGAGAUAAUGGCACCUCCAUCUGGGACCAUCAUAGCAACAAGACCCGACAGGGCCGACAGUUUGAUUCCAGGUGCCUGCAGUCUAGAGCAGGCCAAGCUGGCAUUCUUUGACUCUUCAAAGACCCCAAAGGGCAUAUUGUCUUCCCUGGGUUUGAAGAGAAAUGCAUUUCCACCAGUACCACAUCCGGGCCUCACCUCGCCCCUGACAGGAGACACCUGCAGCUCUUCACCAGGUCACUGGAAGUGGGACCCAGCUGCUCAGAGGAGCCAUGAAAAACACCCAGCUCAGGCUGUUUCUAAAUUCAAGGGUGGAUCCACAAACCACCUGUUUGAGAACAGAAAAAUCACUUGGUGUGUCCCUAAAAUCACCAGAGCAGGAACAGUGCCUCACAAAAUCAUCUGUCAACUUGAAACUUCUGAGCAAAUGAAAAAUAUAACAGGUUUCAAAGUAUUAGCAAGACAGGAAGAAAUGCGUAAAGAAAAACAUGAGGCUCUCUUAAGUCCCAUCACACCUGGGUCUCCAGGGCUAGUUCUGUUUCCCAUGCAGCUUUAGCCUGUGAAGCAUCCUUAGGGGUCUCAUUUGGUCUCACAGAGGUAGAAUCACACUUUAUACAUUUCUCCCCAUCUACCCUGAUUUGAACUUGGGCUUGGCAGUUCUACAAGCCUGGCAGUCUUGUCCUGCCACCUCUUUCCUAGUCUUGGCAUUUAUGCUUGCCUCCACUCACAAUGUUCACACACUGUGUUUAAACACAGGCUUUCAAAAACCUUGCUUCCCUCUACAGUCUCUACCUGUAACUCAGGGCUAGCAUGUUCUUCCCCCUCU